GAUGAAGAACGUAGUGAAAUGCGAUACGUAAUGUGAAUUGCAGAAUUCAGUGAAUCAUCGAGUCUUUGAACGCACAUUGCGCCCGCCAGUAUUCUGGCGGGCAUGCCUGUUCGAGCGUCAUUACAACCCUCAGGCCCCCGGGCCUGGCGUUGGGGAUCGGCGGAAGCCCCCUGUGGGCACACGCCGUCCCCCAAAUACAGUGGCGGUCCCGCCGCAGCUUCCAUUGCGUAGUAGCUAACACCUCGCAACUGGAGAGCGGCGCGGCCAUGCCGUAAAACACCCAACUUCUGAAUGUUGACCUCGAAUCAGGUAGGAAUACCCGCUGAACUUAAGCAUAUCAAUAAGCGGAGGA
rnacentral:misc_RNA from 1 species